GGAUGUGAGGGUGAUCUGGCUGCGACAUCUGUCACCCCACUGAUCACCAGGGUUGAUUCGGCUGAUCUGGCUGGCUAGGCGGUGUCCCCUUCCUCCCUCGCCGUUCCAUGUGCAUCCCUCCCAAAGCUUUGCACUUGGUCGAAGAGGACGGCCUUCCUGAAUAGAGACAGACAGGUCUUCAGUUGAGGGUAUACAAGUAGCUGCGCUCCCCUGCUAGAACCUCCAAACAAGCUCUCAAGGUCCAAAAAUGGAAAAAAAAAAUGGAAUCCAGGGGCAGUGGAUUCGUAGUUCAGGCACUGAGCUGCAGUGUUAACCCUA
ensembl:misc_RNA 7SK 7SK RNA